GAAAAAGAAAAAUGUGAGGCUUUGCUCUUCUUUUGGUUCUUCAAGAACUGUGAACUUAUCAGAGAUUCUUCCUUAUGGCGUUCAAACUUUAUACCUUUGGUUCAUGAUUCAAUUAUAAUCAUUGGGUCAAGGCCCAUCCUGACUUAAUACAAGCAUUCCAAGCUACUACAACAGCUGGAGGGUUUGGGAGUUCGGGCACCUCUGUCAACAAAUCUCUUAAUGCUGUGAUAAUUGGUGACAAUCCUCCUCGAGGAAAGGGAGUUGAUGUUAGAUUUGCCCAUGCAGCAGCUGAAGUCAGAAAGAAAGCUACAGCUAGGGGCCUCUUGAUACGUCCACAUGGUGUUCCGGUACAAGCUAUGCCACCACUUACUCAACUCCUCAAUAUUAUCAAUUCAGGUAUGACCCCUGAUGCGGCAGAAGGUGGGGAAAUUGAUGGAGUGAAGAAGGAAGCCAAUGGCCAUCCUUCAAAUGGCCUAGUGGAUUCCAAAAAUGAUGAAUUGACAUUAGGGCAAGAAGAUUAGGCUCCUGUUGGAUUGGGCACAGGCUUAGCAUCAUCGGAUGCCAAGAAACAAAAAGCAAAAGCCAAAGCUACUGCUUGAAUUGUUGCAUAGUUGAGAUUACGCUGAUCGGUAAGGAAACCCCUUAUAUAUUUAUGAGAAUUGGAAUGAUUUCCAAUAUGGCAUCAGAGCCUUUUGUUUUGUUGUUUGAGUGAUGAACAAUCCCAUUUAUUCAUGGAUCUCAAAAGUUAUAAAGGGUAUUGAGAUAUGCCCGUUGACCGACAGGUAUUCCUUUUCGUUUUAACCAAUAAUUAGGGUCAUAUACUCUGAAGAUCAUGCUAGCCAAUAGACUAAAUAUAUUCUUCUAGGUACUGACUGAAGAAUGACCUUGUCAGUUUUCCUAUCUUUUGAUUUUUAAUUAAAUUUUGAUGAAUUUUGGGGUAUCAAGUGAAAGCAUUUCAAUGUUGAAAUAUGUAAAAUAGUGUGUUAAUUUCCGUCAAAAAUGAGAUGAGCUUAUUUCCUUUGUUUGAGAA